rnacentral:ncRNA from 1 species
UGAGGGCGUAAUAAGAGCGUAUGGUGGAUGCCUUGACACAAAAUGGCGAUGAAGGACGUAGCGUAGCUGCGAAAAGCCCCGGGGAGGUGUGUAGCAACCUUUGAUCCGAGGAUAUCCGAAUGGGGAAACCCUCCGCGGUAAACCCGCGGAACCAGUGCGUUGCACUGGAAUGACUAAUUCCUAAUUGACCUAAUUCCUAAUCAAUUUCUAAUGCCGAAAUGUCCAAUGUCUAAAAUUAUUUUAGUCAUUGGCUAUUAAAUCAUUGGGGGUUUAUUUAGAAAUUAGAAAUUAGAGCUUAGAAAUUCCACUGCAGCGCAGUGGCGUGGUAGGAGAGCAUUCUUAAUGCUGCGAAGGAGGAUCCGCGAGGACCUCUGGAGCGUUAAGAAGAGAGAAUGUUGGUAUGAGUA